rnacentral:rRNA from 1 species
GAGUUUGAUCAUGGCUCAGGACGAACGCUGGCGGCGUGCUUAACACAUGCAAGUCGAACGAUGAAGCCUUUCGGGGUGGAUUAGUGGCGAACGGGUGAGUAACACGUGGGCAAUCUGCCCUUCACUCUGGGACAAGCCCUGGAAACGGGGUCUAAUACCGGAUAACACUCUGUCCCGCAUGGGACGGGGUUAAAAGCUCCGGCGGUGAAGGAUGAGCCCGCGGCCUAUCAGCUUGUUGGUGGGGUAAUGGCCUACCAAGGCGACGACGGGUAGCCGGCCUGAGAGGGCGACCGGCCACACUGGGACUGAGACACGGCCCAGACUCCUACGGGAGGCAGCAGUGGGGAAUAUUGCACAAUGGGCGAAAGCCUGAUGCAGCGACGCCGCGUGAGGGAUGACGGCCUUCGGGUUGUAAACCUCUUUCAGCAG